rnacentral:rRNA from 1 species
AUUGAACGCUGGCGGCAGGCCUAAGACAUGCAAGUCGAGCGAGAAAGCCCUUCGGGGUGAGUACAGCGGCGGACGGGUGAGUAACGCGUAGGAAUCUACCCAGUAGUGGGGGACAACUAGUGGAAACGCUAGCUAAUACCGCAUACGCCCUAAGGGGGAAAGCGGGGGAUCUUCGGACCUCGUGCUAUUGGAUGAGCCUGCGUAAGAUUAGCUUGUUGGUGAGGUAAUGGCUCACCAAGGCCACGAUCUUUAGCUGGUCUGAGAGGAUGAUCAGCCACACCGGGACUGAGACACGGCCCGGACUCCUACGGGAGGCAGCAGUCGGGAAUAUUGCGCAAUGGGGGAAACCCUGACGCAGCCAUGCCGCGUGUGUGAAGAAGGCCCUAGGGUUGUAAAGCACUUUCAAUUGGGAGGAAAAGCUAAUGGUUAAUAGCCAUUAGCCCUGACGUUACCUUUAGAAGAAGCACCGGCUAACUCCGUGCCAGCAGCCGCGGUAAUACGGAGGGUGCAAGCGUUAAUCGGAAUUACUGGGCGUAAAGCGCGCGUAGGCGGCUCUUUAAGUCGGAUGUGAAAGCCCCGGGCUCAACCUGGGAACUGCAUCCGAUACUGGAGGGCUAGAGUGUAGGAGAGGGAGGUAGAAUUCCAUGUGUAGCAGUGAAAUGCGUAGAUAUAUGGAGGAAUACCAGUGGCGAAGGCGGCCUCCUGGCUUAACACUGACGCUGAGGUGCGAAAGCGUGGGGAGCAAACGGGAUUAGAUACCCCGGUAGUCCACGCCGUAAACGAUGUCUACUAGCUGUAGGGGUACUUGAGACCUUUGUAGCGCAGCUAACGCACUAAGUAGACCGCCUGGGGAGUACGGCCGCAAGGUUAAAACUCAAAUGAAUUGACGGGGGCCCGCACAAGCAGUGGAGCAUGUGGUUUAAUUCGAUGCAACGCGAAGAACCUUACCAGGCCUUGACAUCCCCGGAACUUUCUAGAGAUAGAUUGGUGCCUUCGGGAACCGGGUGACAGGUGCUGCAUGGCUGUCGUCAGCUCGUGUCGUGAGAUGUUGGGUUAAGUCCCGUAACGAGCGCAACCCUUGUCCUUAGUUGCCAGCACGUAAUGGUGGGAACUCUAAGGAGACUGCCGGUGACAAACCGGAGGAAGGUGGGGACGACGUCAAGUCAUCAUGGCCCUUACGGCCUGGGCUACACACGUGCUACAAUGGCUAGGACAGACGGCUGCAAACCAGCGAUGGGGAGCUAAUCCGACAAACCUAGUCGUAGUCCGGAUUGGAGUCUGCAACUCGACUCCAUGAAGUCGGAAUUGCUAGUAAUCGCGAAUCAGAAUGUCGCGGUGAAUACGUUCCCGGGCCU